rnacentral:rRNA from 1 species
CUGCAAGUCGAGCGGAACCAAAGGAGCUUGCUCUUCUUGGUUUAGCGGCGGACGGGUGAGUAACACGUGGGCAACCUGCCCUGCAGAUCGGGAUAACUCCGGCGAAACCGGUGCUAAUACCGAAUAGUUUCUGGUCCCUCCUGGGACCGGACGGAAAGACGGUUUCGGCUGUCACUGCAGGAUGGGCCCGCGGCGCAUUAGCUAGUUGGUGGGGUAACGGCCCCCCAAGGCGACGAUGCGUAGCCGACCUGAGAGGGUGAUCGGCCACACUGGGACUGAGACACCGCCCACACUCCUACGGGAGGCAGCAGUAGGGAAUCUUCCGCAAUGGACGCAAGUCUGACGGAACAACCCGGCGGGGGGGGGAAGGUUUUUGGAUUCUAAAAUUUUGGUUGGGGGGAAGAACAAAGCCCAAUUAAUUUCUGGCACCUUGACGGUACUUACCAGAAAGACCCGGCUAAUUCCUGCCAGCAGCCGCGGUAAUAAGUAGGUGGCCAAGCUUUUUCCGAAAUAUUGGGCGUAAAGCGCGCGCAGGCGGUCCUUUAAGUUUGAUGUGAAAGCCCCCGCGUCAACCGUGGAGGGUCAUUGGAAACUGGAGGACUUGAGUGCAGAAGAGGAAAGUGGAAUUCCACGUGUAGCGGUGAAAUGCGUAGAGAUGUGGAGGAACACCAGUGGCGAAGGCGUCUUUCUGGUCUGUAACUGACGCUGAGGCGCGAAAGCGUGGGGAGCAAACAGGAUUAGAUACCCUGGUAGUCCACGCCGUAAACGAUGAGUGCUAAGUGUUAGGGGGUUUCCGCCCCUUAGUGCUGCAGCUAACGCAUUAAGCACUCCGCCUGGGGAGUACGGCCGCAAGGCUGAAACUCAAAGGAAUUGACGGGGGCCCGCACAAGCGGUGGAGCAUGUGGUUUAAUUCGAAGCAACGCGAAGAACCUUACCAGGUCUUGACAUCCCCCUGCCCGGUGUAGAGAUACGCCUUUCCCUUUGGGGACAGCGGUGACAGGUGGUGCAUGGUUGUCGUCAGCUCGUGUCGUGAGAUGUUGGGUUAAGUCCCGCAACGAGCGCAACCCUUGAUUUUAGUUGCCAGCAUUCAGUUGGGCACUUUAAGGUGACUGCCGGUGACAAACCGGAGGAAGGUGGGGAUGACGUCAAAUCAUCAUGCCCCUUAUGACCUGGGCUACACACGUGCUACAAUGGACGGUACAAAGGGCAGCCAACCCGCGAGGGGGAGCCAAUCCCAGAAAACCGUUUUCAGUUCGGAUUGCAGGUUGCAACUCGCCUGCAUGAAGCCGGAAUCGCUAGUAAUCGUGGAUCAGCAUGCCACGGUGAAUACGUUCCCGGGCCUUGUACACACCGCCCGUCACACCCCGAGAGUUUUAACACCCGAAGUCGGUGAGGUAACCCUUGGGAGCCAGCCGCCGAAGGGGACAGUAUGGG